GACGAACGCUGGCGGCGUGCUUAACACAUGCAAGUCGAACGGAAAGGCCCUGCUUUUGUGGGGUGCUCGAGUGGCGAACGGGUGAGUAACACGUGAGUAACCUGCCCUUGACUUUGGGAUAACUUCAGGAAACUGGGGCUAAUACCGGAUAGGAGCUCCUGCUGCAUGGUGGGGGUUGGAAAGUUUCGGCGGUUGGGGAUGGACUCGCGGCUUAUCAGCUUGUUGGUGGGGUAGUGGCUUACCAAGGCUUUGACGGGUAGCCGGCCUGAGAGGGUGACCGGACACAGUGGGAGUGAGAUACGGCCCAGACUACUACGAGACGCAGCAGUGGAGGAUAUUGCACAAUGGGCGGAAGCAUGAUGGAGAAACGCCGCGGGGGGGAUGACGGCCUGCGGGGUGUAAACCGCUUUCGUCUGAGAAGAAGAGUGAGUGACGGUAAGGUGUAAAGAAGCAGGGGCUAACUACG
rnacentral:rRNA from 1 species